rnacentral:rRNA from 1 species
CAAUAUUUAGUAGCAAACGGGUGAGUAAUACAUAGGAAUCUACCUAGUAGUGGGGGACAACAGUUGGAAACGACUGCUAAUACCGCAUAUACCGGAGACGGGAAAGGUGUUUUUACUUAUUUAUUAAGCUGUUAUGGGUUUAAUAAAUAAGUAUUACAUCGCUAUUUGAAGAGCCUAUGUCCGAUUAGCUAGUUGGCGGGGUGAAUGCCCACCAAGGCUACGAUCGGUAGUCGGUCUGAGAGGAUGAUCGGCCACACUGGGACUGAGACACGGCCCAGACUCC